rnacentral:rRNA from 1 species
AUUGAACGCUGGCGGCAGGCCUAACACAUGCAAGUCGAGCGGAUGAAGGGAGCUUGCUCCUGGAUUCAGCGGCGGACGGGUGAGUAAUGCCUAGGAAUCUGCCUGGUAGUGGGGGAUAACGUCCGGAAAAGGGCGCUAAUACCGCAUACGUCCUGAGGGAGAAAGAGGGGGGUCUUCGGACCUCACGCUAUCAGAUGAGCCUAGGUCGGAUUAGGUAGUUGGUGGGGUAAAGGGCUACCAAGGGGACGAUCCGUAACUGGUCUGAGAGGAUGGUUAGUCACACUGGAACUGAGACACGGACCAGACUCCUACGGGAGGCCGCAGUGGGGAAUAUUGGACAAUGGGCGAAAGCCUGAUCCAGCCAUGCCGCGUGUGUGAAGUAGGUCUUCGGAUUGUAAAGCACUUUAAGUUGGGAGGAAGGGCAGUAAGUUAAUACCUUGCUGUUUUGACGUUACCAACAGAAUAAGCACCGGCUAACUUCGUG